UUAUUUCUUCUCUCUCGAUUUUUCCCGAGCCACCGCCGUCCCUCACCCAAUGCCGUCUCCGCCUCCUCCUCUGCCCUAGCGUCGAUGCUUUCUCCUCUUCCCCGAGCUGCCGCCUCUUCUUCUCUCCCGAGCUCGCCAUCACCGCCCCAACCCGACGCCGACCACCUUCUUGGCUUCCCCAACCGGCGAUGCCUCUCGACGCCUCGCACUUCUUCUUCCCCUUUUGCUUCCGCGACGUCGAAGUCGGUGUCCUCCCAUGCCCUAGGUCUACUGCUCACAACCUCCCUUCAUCUCUUUCACUGGUGUCAACUAGAACCUCCUCACCGCGUGCCAUCAUUCUUUCUCUUGUGCUAGAUCUACACUCGGGAAUGUGCCAGACCUUUGCUCGGUACAGAACUGAGGUGUUUUAGGUUAGAGGACAACAACACCAGUCUGUUUCGGUCAAAAUCUGAGGUAAGUGCUAAUCCUAGUCUCUAAUCUAGGAGAUGCAAUGAUGGAUUGCUAAGUUUCAAGCAUCUAUUCAUGUUGGACAAGCAUAUCGCACUAGUUCGGCCACCAUAUCAGUAGUGAUCGCGCUCCGAUAGUGAAUAAGAAGGGCUUUGAUUCGAGACGGCGUCUCGACGUGGGAUCUAUUUCGGAUACGAUCUCCAUUUUUGAGGCGGAUACCUCUGACUUAUCUCCUUGAUAUGGUCAUUUUUGUUAUGCAUAAUAGUUUAUAGCUAGUAGUAAUGAUUGUGUUUACUUCUGCUUUGGUAUGUCAUUUCUUGGUUCUUGUAGUCUACCUAUAUUCCUAUCUGUUAUGCAAUCACACUUAUAUUCUCUUA